rnacentral:lncRNA from 1 species
CUCAGUCACCUGCCCUGGUCCUGCAGCUGCCUGUCUGCCAGGAGGGCAGAGGGAACCACGCUGUGCUGGCAACUGGAAUUACAUCCUUAGUCUUUCUGGGAGGCUCCAAGACAACCUUGAAGAAAGGUUUAACGGCUUCCAUCAAUACUGGGUUUAUCAGGACCUUGGACAGUGCUCACGGACUGCUCUGUGCCCACAUUUCUUGACUGGUCUCAUGGAGCACUAAGAGGUUAUGGGAGCCAGCAAGAUGGCUCAGUGGGCUAAGGCCCUUGUGACCUUACCUCAUGACCUGUGUUCUGAUCGCAGAACUCACGUGGUAGAAGGAAAGAACCAACCCCACAGCUGUCUCUUCGGUCCUCUCACUCAUUGCCUAAUCCACGCAAAUAAAGAA